AUACCCAACAUGGGAGGAAAAGUUUGGUUGUCGAGAAUAACUGCACCUAUCAGUUACUCACGUUUGAUUUUUAAAAAUGAGAUUUUUUUACUCAUUUAUGAUUAAUUUUAAAAAAAUUAUCAAAAUAAUGUUGAGCUCAAAUUUUUUCAAAAAAUAUUUUUUUUUGCCAUCUCACCAACCUGACUACUAGAUAGAGCAAAGU
rnacentral:lncRNA from 1 species